rnacentral:rRNA from 1 species
GCUUACGGCCAUACCAGCCUGAAUACGCCCGAUCUCGUCCGAUCUCGGAAGCUAAGCAGGGUCGGGCCUGGGUAGUACUUGGAUGGGAGACCGCCUGGGAAUACCAGGUGCGGUAAGCU